GAUGAACGCUGGCGGCGUGCCUAAUACAUGCAAGUCGAGCGAACAGACGAGGAGCUUGCUCCUCUGACGUUAGCGGCGGACGGGUGAGUAACACGUGGAUAACCUACCUAUAAGACUGGGAUAACUUCGGGAAACCGGAGCUAAUACCGGAUAAUAUAUUGAACCGUAUGGUUCAAUAGUGAAAGUCGGUUUUGCUGUCACUUAUAGCUGGAUCCGCGCCGCAUUAGCUAGUUGGUAAGGUAACGGCUUACCAAGGCAACGAUGCGUAGCCGACCUGAGAGGGUGAUCGGCCACACUGGAGCUGAGACGCGGUCCAGACUCCUACGGGAGGCAGCAGUAGGGAAUCUUCCGCAAUGGGCGAAAGCCUGACGGAGCAACGCCGCGUGAGUGAUGAAGGUCUUCGGAUCGUAAAACUCUGUUAUUAGGGAAGAACAAAUGUGUAAGUAACUAUGCACGUCUUGACGGUACCUAAUCAGAAAGCCACGGCUAACUACGUG
rnacentral:rRNA from 1 species